rnacentral:misc_RNA from 1 species
GAUGAAGAACGUAGCGAAAUGCGAUAAGUAAUGUGAAUUGCAGAAUUCAGUGAAUCAUCGAAUCUUUGAACGCACAUUGCGCCCCCUGGUAUUCCGGGGGGCAUGCCUGUUCGAGCGUCAUUUCACCACUCAAGCCUCGCUUGGUAUUGGGCAACGCGGUCCGCCGCGUGCCUCAAAUCGACCGGCUGGGUCUUCUGUCCCCUAAGCGUUGUGGAAACUAUUCGCUAAAGGGUGCUCGGGAGGCUACGCCGUAAAACAAACCCAUUUCUAAGGUUGACCUCGGAUCAGGUAGGGAUACCCGCUGAACUUAAGCAUAUCAAAAGCGGAGGA